rnacentral:rRNA from 1 species
CUCGUAGGCGGCCAACUAAGUCAGACGUGAAAUCUCUCGGCUUAACCGGGGAACUGCGUCUGAUACUGGAUGGCUCGAGUUUGGGAGAGGGAUGCGGAAUUCCAGGUGUAGCGGUGAAAUGCGUAGAUAUCUGGAGGAACACCGGUGGCGAAGGCGGCAUCCUGGACCAACACUGACGCUGAGUGAGCGAAAGCCAGGGGAGCAAACG